AAUAUGUGAUAAAAUAUUAAUAAUUACAUAGGUUAUAAUUGUUGAAAUAAAUAAAUAAAUAGUGGGUGAGACAGUGUUUGUGUAAGGUAGGUAGGUAUAUAGAUAAAAUGUAAUAUGUACAAUCUGUAUCAAAUGUAUUGAGUAAUAAAUAUUAAAUAUUAGAAAGGGUAGAAUGAGUAGAAAUACAAAACAUAAACUAAAAGUAAAUAAAAGUGCACAAUAGUAGUAGGUACUAUUAGCCGUACACAAUGCCAGCCAAUCAUGGUACCGCCUACUUACUUAUAAGCAGUGGCGGGUAGCCAUUAUGAAACGGCACCCACAGCCUGCAGCGUGAAAAUAUUUUUCAGUAUCCGGGCGCGACCCGUUCAGUGUGCCCGCGUCAUCCCGCCAGCCGUGCGUAGAUAACGGGACGAGGCGGCGCCCGCGCACCCACGCCCGGAUACCUACCAAAUGAAGUACCCCACGAACAGCUAGCAACAAUCAUUAUACUCCAGUGUAUAAGUACCUAAAGUGAUACAUAAUGUUAAUUUCAUUACAUGAUGAAGGCUGCGUUGACCAAAAUAAAAGGGUCAAUUUAAGCAGCAGAGUAACCGGAAUAAAAAACAGCAACACCAGAUGUUAUGAUGAUAAGUUUGGUGAUGAUCUACUGCGUGCAGCUUGCAGCUAGGCAGUCUGGAACCGUGUCACAACCAUGGAACACCGAGUCCUUGCUGUACGUGAAUACCUACGAAGUCACGUAGGGGUGGCCUCAGCGUGUUCCAUAUGAAGCUGGCUGUGAAUCGGAACGAGUGGCGAAACAAAGCGGUUUUGUGCUUCGGAGUGACCAUAAGA